AACAAUGAAUGAAAUUAUAAAUAAUUAAAAAUACAAAAUGGUAGAUCCUCUAUCGUUUCUGUUGCUAAGUACAUGUGUAAUAGCAUGCUGGCCAUGUCUCUUGCCGUGCUGCCUCGCCUUGCCUUUCGUGCAGUUUCCAAUUAUAGUCGUUGAAUCGACUGACGUAAACAAAUUUAAAAAAGGGACUGAAGCAAAGGUGUUCUACGUAUGCGUCACAAAAAGUGGAGUAAUGUUGAGAAAGAGGAAAUAAUUCAAAUCAAUAUCCAUUUGUGUGUGAUGUGUUGAUUUUAUAAAUAUUAUUAAAUAUAUUCUUACAG